rnacentral:tRNA from 1 species
GGCACUGUGGCUCAAGUGGUAGAGCGUUAGCCUUGAGCUAAAGAGCUUAGGGACAGCGCCCAGGGCCCAAAGUUCAGUGCCA